rnacentral:rRNA from 1 species
UUGACAUGCAGAGAACUUUCCAGAGAUGGAUUGGUGGCCUUCGGGAACUCUGACACAGGUGCUGCAUGGCUGUUGUCAGCUCGUGUCGUGAGAUGUUGGGUUAAGUCCGUAACGAGCGCAACCCUUGUCCUUAGUUACCAGCACGUUAUGGUGGGCACUCUAAGGAGACUGCCGGUGACAAACCGGAGGAAGGUGGGGAUGACGUCAAGUCAUCAUGGCCCUUACGGCCUGGGCUACACACGUGCUACAAUGGUCGGUACAAAGGGUUGCCAAGCCGCGAGGUGGAGCUAAUCCCAUAAAACCGAUCGUAGUCCGGAUCGCAGUCUGCAACUCGACUGCGUGAAGUCGGAAUCGCUAGUAAUCGUGAAUCAGAAUGUCACGGUGAAUACGUUCCCGGGCCUU